rnacentral:rRNA from 1 species
UGAGGAAUAUUGGUCAAUGGGCGAGAGCCUGAACCAGCCACGUCGCGUGAAGGAAGACUGACCUUACGGUUUGUAAACUUCUUUUGUAGAGGGGUAAUGGCAGAUACGUGUAUUUGCGUGAAAGUACUCUACGAAUAAGGACCGGCUAAUUCCGUGCCAGCAGCCGCGGUAAUACGGAAGGUCCGGGCGUUAUCCGGAUUUAUUGGGUUUAAAGGGAGCGUAGGCUGUCUAUUAAGCGUGUUGUGAAAUUUACCGGCUCAACCGGUGGCUUGCAGCGCGAACUGGUCGACUUGAGUAUGCAGGAAGUAGGCGGAAUUCAUGGUGUAGCGGUGAAAUGCUUAGAUAUCAUGACGAACUCCGAUUGCGCAGGCAGCUUACUGUAGCAUAACUGACGCUGAUGCUCGAAAGUGCGGGUAUCAAACAGG